rnacentral:rRNA from 1 species
CCUACGGGUGGCUGCAGUGAGGAAUAUUGGUCAAUGGGCGUAAGCCUGAACCAGCCAAGUCGCGUGAGGGAUGAAGGUUCUAUGAAUCGUAAACCUCUUUUAUAAGGGAGUAAAGUGUGGGACGUGUCCUAUUUUGUAUGUACCUUAUGAAUAAGGAUCGGCUAACUCCGUGCCAGCAGCCGAGGUAAUACGGAGGUUCCGAGCGUUAUCCGGAUUUAUUGGGGUUAAAGGGUGCGUAGGCGGCCUUUUAAGUCAGCGGUGAAAGUCUGUGGCUCAACCAUGGAAUUGCCGUUGAAACUGGCGUUCUUGAGUAUGUUUGAGGCAGGCGGAAUUCGUAGUGUAGCGGUGAAAUGCUUAGAUAUCACGCGGAACCCCAAUUGCGAAGGCAGCCUGCCAAGCCAUGACUGACGCUGAUGCACGAAAGCGUGGGGAUCAAACAGGAUUAGAUACCCUAGUAGUC